UACGUAGGGGGCGAGCGUUGUCCGGAGUUACUGGGCGUAAAGGGCACGCAGGCGGUCGCUUACGUUUGGGGUUACAGCUCCCGGCUCAACCGGGAGAGCGCCUUGAACACGGGGCGACUUGAGGGCCAGAGAGGGACACAGAAUUCCGGGUGUAGUGGUGAAAUGCGUAGAUAUCCGGAGGAAUACCAAAGGCGAAGGCAGUGUCCUGGAGGGUACCUGACGCUGAGGUGCGAAAGCUAGGGGAGCGAACGGG
rnacentral:rRNA from 1 species